rnacentral:rRNA from 1 species
GUGGGGAAUUUUGGACAAUGGGCGCAAGCCUGAUCCAGCAAUGCCGCGUGCAGGAAGAAGGCCUUCGGGUUGUAAACUGCUUUUGUACGGAACGAAACGGUCCUGGUUAAUACCUGGGGCUAAUGACGGUACCGUAAGAAUAAGCACCGGCUAACUACGUGCCAGCAGCCGCGGUAAUACGUAGGGUGCGAGCGUUAAUCGGAAUUACUGGGCGUAAAGCGUGCGCAGGCGGUUUUGUAAGACAGGCGUGAAAUCCCCGGGCUCAACCUGGGAAUUGCGCUUGUGACUGCAAGGCUGGAGUGCGGCAGAGGGGGAUGGAAUUCCGCGUGUAGCAGUGAAAUGCGUAGAUAUGCGGAGGAACACCGAUGGCGAAGGCAAUCCCCUGGGCCUGCACUGACGCUCAUGCACGAAAGCGUGGGGAGCAAACAGGAUUAGAUACCCGAGUAGUCC